rnacentral:rRNA from 1 species
GACGAACGCUGGCGGCGUGCUUAACACAUGCAAGUCGAACGGAAAGGCCCUGCUUUUGUGGGGUGCCCGAGUGGCGAACGGGUGAGUAACACGUGAGUAACCUGCCCUUGACUUUGGGAUAACUUCAGGAAAGUGGGGCUAAUACCGGAUAGGAGCUCCUGCUGCAUGGUGGGGGUUGGAACGUUUCGGCGGGUGGGGAUGGACGCGCGGCUUAUCAGCUUGUUGGUUGGGGAGUGGCUUACCAAGGCUUUGACGGGUAGGCGGCCUGAGAGGGUGACCGGCCACAUUGGGACUGAGAUACGGCCCAGACUCCUACGGGAGGCAGCAGUGGGGAAUAUUGCACAAUGGGCGGAAGCCUGAUGCAGCAACGCCGCGUGCGGGAUGACGGCCUUCGGGUUGUAAACCGCUUUCGCCUGUGACGAAGCGUGAGUGACGGUAAUGGGUAAAGAAGCACCGGCUAACUACGUG